GAUGAACGCUGGCGGCGUGCCUAAUACAUGCAAGUCGAGCGAACAGACGAGGAGCUUGCUCCUCUGACGUUAGCGGCGGACGGGUGAGUAACACGUGGAUAACCUACCUAUAAGACUGGGAUAACUUCGGGAAACCGGAGCUAAUACCGGAUAACAUGUUGAACCGCAUGGUUUAACAGUGAAAGACGGUCUUGCUGUCACUUAUAGAUGGAUCCGCGCCGCAUUAGCUAGUUGGUAAGGUAACGGCUUACCAAGGCAACGAUGCGUAGCCGACCUGAGAGGGUGAUCGGCCACACUGGAACUGAGACACGGUCCAGACUCCUACGGGAGGCAGCAGAAGGGAAUCUUCCGCAAUGGUCGAAAGCCUGACGGAGCAACGCCGCGUGAGUGAAGAAGGUCUUCGGAUCGUAAAACUCUGUUAUUAGGGAAGAACAAAUGUGUAAGUAACUAUGCACGUCUUGACGGUACCUAAUCAGAAAGCCACGGCUAACUACGUG
rnacentral:rRNA from 1 species